rnacentral:sRNA from 1 species
UUCUGACUUGGCUUGUGUCCCUGCAGGGAUUGAGUUUGUAGCUGCCCAGCUCAAGUCCAUGGUGCUGACCUUGGGCCUGAUUGACCUGCGCCUGACAGUGGAGCAGGCCGUGCUGCUGUCACGCCUGGAGGAGGAGUACCAGAUCCAGAAGUGGGGCAACAUUGAGUGGGCCCAUGACUAUGAGCUGCAGGAGCUGCGGGCCCGCACCGCUGCCGGCACCCUCUUCAUCCAUCUCUGCUCCGAGAGCACCACAGUCAAGCACAAGCUCCUGAAGGAGUGAGGCCUGGACAGCGCGCACACAGCAGGAUAGAGGCAAUGCAGCCACAGCUUCCCCGGCCUUCAGGGCUCCCCAGCCUGUGGGGCUGGCUUCCUUGGCUUUUGGGGGCUCGGCCUCAGCAUCACCCUGAGAUUCCCCCGAGACACAGUGUGCUAGUGCAGCUGUCCGGAGGUCAGCCUGAUUUCAACCCAGGUGCCCCUGGCCUGGCCAGCAGUAAAUGUAGGAGAUGAAUUGUACAAGUGACUUUCUCUUGACUCUGAUUUUAUUAAAUAUUUCUCCACCCUGGAAA